AGCAUUUCAGAGAUCGGGAGAAUCUUAUAAAUGAAGGCGUUGUUCUCCAGGGAAAUCUCUCAACAAUCUGAUUUCAUUUAUGUCUUUUUAAAAAGUUCUGUCUAAAUGAUAAAAAAAAAAAUCUCCAAGGAAAACAUUUGUUAGCACAGAAAAUAAAUUCUUAUGAUUAACAUUUUGCCAUCCAAAAAGGUUGGUGACUAAGAGAGUUUUCAGCACUUCAAAGCUUCUAUAUUGAGCCAACCAAGCCUCUGAAGGGGUGCUGGCCACCUUCCAGGAGCAUCCUAGUCCUGUCUUUGCUGAUUAUGAACCUUGGGCUCUGCUGCAAACACACUCCUCUGUGGACGGGAGACCAAAGGCAGAACAGAUGGAAGAUCCGACCACAAGUCUUUGAAAGGAGGGGACCUUGAGCAAGUCUUGGACUUGAGUUUCCUCACUGGUCAAAUGGACAUGCUAACACCCUACGGGACCACUAGGAGAUUGUGAUGGUAAAGAAUCCGAUAAAGGCUAUGAUGAGCCUUUGACAGUACGGGCCCAAGGUCCCCAAGAAUGCCUGAAUCCUGCCCAGACCUUAGUAACUUUUCCACACAAAGCCCCCAAGGGGCAGAUAUGCUCCAGUGGCAGCAGCAAAUAAAAUUAAAGUAACUCUUCCCCUGUGAGCCUGGAACAGUGACAGGGCCCCAAACCAAUCGGUCAGUCCAGCCUGCUUGGUAGUAGAAUGGCAGCUGGAAGAGAUCAAGGGAGAAGGCUGACCCAGGGGAGUGUGUGUGUGUGUGUUUAAUAGAGUGGGGGCGAGAUUGCUGGAAGGCAGAGUAGACCAGCAGCCUGAUUACUGCUUCUGCAGCUAAGAGGAAAGAAGAGCAGAGCACCAGAAAGACGCGGAUCGGCGAGUCUGAAUUGCAACUCACAGUGACCUCACCUGCUGGAAACAUGGUGUUCUGCAAUAAGACCAACAAAUAGCAGCUCCUUCAUGGGGUGGUGAGGUGGGGGCAGGGAGGUUGGCAGCCAAAGCGGAUGGUGAAUGCUUGGCCACCCACACAGAGGUCUCGAAAGCCUGACACCUACUGGGUACUCAGGACAGAACUCAUCAUAGAACAUUUUCCAAAUAAAAUGGACUAAAGAGAAUUCGCUCCUUUUGAGGGUGACCUUCAGGAUUGGCACGUAUGAGGCUGUGGUCCUCUGUGAAGGUGCCUCCCCCACGUCAGGAUUAUUCGGUGUCUUCGUCAGCUUGGGCUGCUAUAGCAAAAUAUCGGAGACUGGGGGGCUUAAACAACAAACAUUUCUUUCUCACAGUUCUGGAAGCUGGAGAGUUCAAGUCCAAGCUGCCAAGUGAUUUGGUUCCUGGUGAGGGAACUCUUCCUAGUUUGCAGACAGCUGUCUUCUCAUUGUAUCCUCAUACGAUGGAGAGAGAGAGAUAAUGUCUCUCAUUUCUCCUCUAAGGGCACCAAUUCCAUCGUGAGGGCUUCACCUUCAUGGCCUAAUUAUCUCCCAAGGGCCCCACCUCCAUCACAUCAGGGAUUAGGCUUCUACAUAUGAAUUAGGGUGGGGGAGGGGACACAAAAAUUCAGUCCAUAGCAUCCAUUCUGAUAUUUUUGGUUUUUUAUUUAUAAUUGGCAAUAAUGAAAAAUAAAGUUACACUAUCUCAGAACUUGCAUUUUCUUAAGAAUGUUCAAAAAAGAGAAAGGCAUGGGGGUUUUGGCUGAUAUUUGUGUGGAAAGACAAGUACUUAUUGUUUCUACCAUCUAAGUCAUAGACAACUAAAUGGCUUACCAGUUUUGUGUUGCAAAUAAAAUCAACACUUCUCUCUAGAAGUUAUCAGCUUGUCUCGAAAAACACUUGGAUUAAUCCAGUAUCUACUUGUCUCUAUGUUACGAUAAUCAUGACAACUGGGUAAAAUAUUUAUCAAUAGAA